CCUCCCCCCAACCCCCACGAGCCACGUCCUCCCGAGCUACCCAAUUCACCGUCGUGGUCCGCCUCAACCUCCCACCAGCCUCCUCCCGUGCCGCCGCCGCUGGCCUCCUCCCGCCGGCCUCCUCCCACGCUACUGUCGGCCUCCUCCCGCGACGCUGCCGCCGGCCUCUCAAUCACGCAAGCUGUCGCCUCCAGGACCGGGAUGCAGGCCCAGGUCUCUGGCGAAGCCGCCGUCCAGGGGCCCGACGCCUUGGUCUCGUGACCUCCACGCUACCGUCGUCCUCACCACAAGCCACUACGGGCGCCGUCGCCCCCGGCCCUGCACUCCACCGCCGCACCCUGCCUUCUUCCCUCGGCAGCUGCUCCACAUUGCAUCCGCCCGACGCCGCGGCGCCCCCAACCCAUCUGCUUUCCCCAACCCCUGAACCUUCGUCUACUGGUUGACCUUCUCGCAAAGGCCACCUCGACCUUCUCGAGGAAGGUUGCUUCCGGGGAUCCGGCUCGCAGGGUGCACGCAAUCUCAUCGUAGCUUGUCGCUGUUGGGUGAAGAUCCGCCGGCCUGAAGACGCAAGAGGAGCAAAGGGGAUACAGAGCAUGUGUAGAACAUGGACUGCUCGCACGCGCCGCCACGGACUGCUUCGCUGCCAUCCUCGUCGUGCUGUGUCCACGGGGCUCCUUGACCCAUCGACGGCGACAACUGCACACAGCCCCUGCUCCUCAACUCCGACGGCCGUGCAGGCAGCCAUCCCACAUGGAGGCCGACACCAUGCUGGCUGAUUGCUUCCACUCACGUGCUUGCGAAUGGAUGGCGCCUGAGGAUAUUCAUUUGCUUUAGUGACUCGUAUGCUUCCGUGUCUACGCUCAUCCUGAGUAUUCUCCGUCUCUGGUUCAUGCGUACAUCAUAUAUUUGAUGCUAACAUGUGUCUAAUGCAGACCACUACAAAAAGACAAUUCACUCAGUCCUAAAAAGUAGUGUUUGUUC